ensembl:lncRNA
GUUAAUCUUGGAUAGAUUUAAAACACCACCUGUUCACUUCUGUUAAAAAAUAUAUUAUAAUUGUAAUUUCUGUUUCGCUGAAGUACUUAAUCCUUACGCAUUUGGUUUCAUCUUCUGAAUAUGUAGUUGGUUUCAGAAUACCUCCCGUCAGUCAGAAAGCCAGCAGGCGGCCCCCGUGCCGAAGAUGCAGGGGUGUCUCCAAGGCGUGACGGCUGGAGCAGACCCGCCGUCCACAGGUCUUCCUGCCCAGAACGCCGCUGCUGGCUGGUCCCCAAGUCCUGUCCAGGACCAGGGGAUUCUGUAAGCCCUGCAAGGAGCAGCCUGCCCCAAGGGUUCUGGGGUGGAGCUGACUGCUUCUGCUCUUUUUGUUUGUAUUCGUGAAAGCCAGACGUAAGUGACUCCUUGAAAAUGUGAACUUGCUUCUAGGACAGAGAAGCUCCGAGGAAGCUUCACCUUCAGCUUUCUCAGCCAUCCUCCUUGACAUCGCUCCAACAGCUUGAACCUUUGACUAGACUGUCAGCCACCGGGGUGAAGACCUCAGGCUACGUCAGGACCAGGGCAACUGUCAAGAAAACGAGUCUCCGGGUCUUUGUCCACUGUGCUCCUAGAGUCACCCCCAGGAGGGGCAAAUCUGAUCACAGCAUGCUCCUCUUCCCCUCCAGAGCCCAGAGGAAACCAGAGACAACCCUUCCAACAUUGGCUCCAUGGCCAGCUGGGGAAGUUGUCCAAACCACCAAGCCUGCCUUUGCCCCCUUCACCCAGGACGCCCGUGCCCACCCCAUCAGGUUGACCGAGGGGGCCUUGGACAAAGUCGUCUCGGUAAGGGCUUAGAGCCGUGCCAGGCACAGAACUAGCUCCGUUUGUUGGCCGUGAUAGCCACUGAUGUCUCAGAGAUAGUAAGGGAGAAAACGUGGCCAAAAUUAAGGCAACAAGAUCGGGAGCCUCUCAGAGACAACCACGAGGCAGCGAGGUGAGGCACGUGGGAGCCACCAGCCCCUAUCCCGAGGGACCCCCGAGACGCCCCUGGAAGGGUGAGCCAGUUGGGAGGCGCAGACAUAUCCUCCCAGCCGGCCUCAGCAGUUCUAAGCCUGAACAACUUUCUUUGCCCCUAGAGACUGCAAAUCCCAUGUUGCAGGGAAAGGAAUCAGAAUUGAACAAAAAUGGAAGAAGUUUAAGGUAGAUUUAGGACAUUAUCUUUAUAGGCUGGCUUGGUAGCCGCAGGAUUAAAGAGGGUUUUGUGGGAGAGCAAAAUCAUAAUUUCACGUUCCUCAAAUAGACCAAUUUAUCUAUAAAUGGAAAAAUCCCUUAAUGUGGAAUAUUCUAUAAUAACGUAUUUAAAAUGUUUCUAAAGGUAGCUGUUUUAUACGGAGUUUAUCUUGACUUUCUGUUAAGUAUAUACACCCCAAGGUUAGUCCAUGCAUUUUAAGAGGUUAGGCUACAGAUCACAGCGCAGAAGGAGGCAAGGAGCUGAGGGAAGUUCUCUCCCGAGACACACAGGAGGAGCGAGCACGGGAAGGAGAGUCACACGUCCAGCGCCUCGAGAACAAUCGGAAAGUGAUUAGUUCUAGUCCCCGAUCUGUGGGCCAGAACAAGGGGGAAGCGGUCCCUUUUGUGAAAGGUCUGAGUGUAGUGCCCGAGGUCCGCUUUGUAACCUAAAAUAUAAAAUUCACUCGAUUCGCAUCUAACAGUUCAGCGUAACUAAGCAGCUGUUAGUGCUGGGUAGGAGUCUGUUUACAGAAAGGGCAGGAGUGGUGUUUUCCAGACGGCUGUAUGCUCCCCAGGGAGUGGAGCAUGGGGGGUGCGUUCCCCUAGCCCUGUACUGAGCUUCCAGAAGUGUGUCCUCAAUUCAGGAACGUCAGUAAGACAUUCCAGGAGUCCGAAGAAAGAAACAUCAAUAAAGCGGGAUAUUCUAGCUAACUGGUCA